rnacentral:lncRNA from 1 species
CUUUCAACAGAGCAUGAUGGUAAGCAGACUGAGGCAGUUGGCUCAGGCAAUAGGAUCCAAGGGUCACCUCUGCUAUCACUGGAGAAGCAGCAGUGGCAGCUUCUCAUUUCGAGUGAGAUCUCGUGAAAGCCCCACGAGAUCUCGCUGGAAUCUGCAAGCCACAGUCUCAAGACCUGGGUUGCAGAACAACGUGGCAAAAAGACAGUUUCUCCUGGAGAGAUUAUUGGAUGCAGUUAAACAGUGCCAGAUCAGAUUUGGAGGGAGGAAGGAGAUUGCUUCCGAUUCGGACAGCAGGUAAGUCUGAAAGGAUAUUGAAUAAACUCACCUAUUUUAAAUGCUACCUGCCCUGGGAUUUAUUCACUGAAAAACAAAUGAGCAUGAAAUCCGGUAUGUAAAUUCUCCAAACAAACAGAUGAGAGAUGAGGAUGGCAAAGGCAGGUGAGACGGAAGACUAAAAUUAGCUGCACAGGGAAUCAGGUACUGGGAAAAGAGAGCAAGUUUACCUGGCGACACUUCUCCGUGGUGAUGUCUUCCUGCAUCGUUACCACAUUGGGAAUGGGCUUUAUGGGAACCAGGUCAACCCCUGAAAUCAAAGACACGGGAGG